GAUUCAUUAGCUCAGUUGGCAGAGCACUUGACUUUUAAUCAAGGUGUCCGGGGUUCGAAUCCCCGAUGAGUCACCA
rnacentral:tRNA from 5 species